UCGCCGGCUCGCGCGCGCAGUCGUCGGGGAUGCCGGGAGCGGCCCGGGGAGCUGUCCCUGGUGCUGACGGCUUGUCCUCUGUCGCCGGGUCCAAGCGACCUCGGGCGAAGCCUGGGGGCGCCCCCACCCCGGCCCGCGCCCUGCGGUGCCCCUCUGCUCUCCGCCUGUUCUUGGGGCGUUCCGGCUUCCACAGCGUUGGGAUCUGGAGUCAGAGGCGAGAAUUCUGAUGACAGACAGAAGAAUGAAGUGCUGGGAGUCCAUUUCCCUUUUACAGAUGGGCUGAACACAGAUGGGUGAGCAACUCUCCCACAGGCAAGAGCGAAUCGUCCCGGAUGAUGGAUGAGGAGGAGAUGGUGCUGAGAGGCGCUCGGGGACCCGUCAAGGGGUCUCUCCCAGCUUCGUCUGUGAGUCACAGAUCAUCCUGACAAAUCCUGCCGCAGAGCGGAGGAGAAGUGAGACGGGAGAGAUGGAGGAUUUAUUGUUUCAGAGCCUUCCUCCAUUGCAGGGAUUUUUUUACUCCAGAGAAGCAUUAACAGAGAGUACUCCUAAUCUGGGUUUUACUUUCUCAGCCAAAGCACUUCUUCACAGCUCGAGCAAAUGCAGGCCAUGCCUACAUUCGCUCAUUCAUUCCCUCACAUACUGUGGGCGCAGAGACAGAGGCAAGAGUCGUCGUCAUCACGAGCUCAGAGGGAGGAUUGCAGACGCUGCUGAAUGCUGUUCGCUUUAAUAAAAAGAUGAAAGAGAGCACCCACUGUGACUGACACAGGCCAGCGUCAGGACAUAACGAGGAAAUGUCAUGCCGGACUGACAUGCCAGACUUUCACUUCAGCUGUGCAGCGCAGUUCCUCCCCUCAGGACAGAGUCUCUAGAGCACCCAUGGGGCAGCUCUGCCACCGAAGACUCACCUUACAGACACAGUCUCCCCUUGGGCACAAAGAAUGAAACCAAGGACUUGCCCAUUGCUCUCCCUUCAGAAUCUAUCCAAGCCUCCAGCCCCAGAGCCUGCCUAACAAUGGCAGAUUCGGAUGGGGGUGAGGAGGAGGAGGGCGUGGGAGGAGAGAAAGAAGAACGGCAGGGGUAAUUAUGGGGAAGCAGGUGGUCGGGGCAGAGCGAGGACAUAAGGCCAGUGCUGUGACACCCAGGGAUGGUGGGAGCCAUGGGAGGCCCAGGCCCCUUCUGUCCUGGCCUGGAUGCCGCCUCCCUCACCGCCUGGCUGGCUUGAGGAAUCAGAAAGAGCAUCAGCUACGGGUCUGUACACGAGCAGAUGAGCCCUGCUGCCGGGCUAGCCUCACGCUGUGAAAUAGCAGAGAGGCCUGGCCCCAGUACAAUCCGGGAAGGGGAGGGGGCACAGCCUCGUCUGUUUGGCCCCUCGUUCUCUGCCUCUCUGUCCUGGAAUGGCACAUCCACGAGGGCAGGGGCUUCGUGCCUCUUGUUGUCUUCGUGCCUCUCUGCUGUCUCCCAGAACCAACCACAGCAGCUGUUCGUUGAAUGAAUGAAAGAUGCUGGUGUGAGAAAGUGUCUGCCUGAGGCUCUGUGGAGUCAGAUGCAGGGUCCCCUGCAAACACAGCUGGCCCGAGAUUGGCAGCCACCCAGACAAGACGUGGCAGGCAGCAGGGCCACCCCCUGCUCUGGAAACCCCACACUGAGACCACUGGCUGUGGUGAUUGGGCUGAGGGGGAGUCUGGGGUGUAGAGAUAAUAAACAGCUCAGUGGUGAGCACUGGCCCAGACCCUCCUUCCCUGUACCACUGGCUCCCUAGAGAAGGGGCAGAGCCCGACGCAGCAAAUCUGCCCUGAGGACGCUUGGACCAUGGCACGAGGCCCUAGGCUGAAGAGGGCGGCCUCUAACCCCCAGCCUCCCUCUCUGCACCCUCCCCAUACCCCACCCCAGGGCAUCAACCCUUGUCUCAAGCGCCCUCACCCAGGGUAGCUUCCCCUGCACGAGCCCUUUGGCUGUUCCUCUUGACUCCCAGGACGGUGUCUGCCCGGUGGCCACCAUUUGAGUCCCCACAGCCGCCCCCAGGCUUGUUACUCCAGCCAUGCCCAGACCAGCCAUUUCCAAAUGCUCACUCCUCACUGCCUGUGGCAGACUACUCCCUCUGCCAGAGGUGCCCUUCCUACCCAUCCCCACCCCACAAACUCCUACACACCCUGCAAGGCACAGCUAGAAUGUUGCAGCCUCUGGGAGACAGGGAGAGUCAAAGGCAGCAUAUAAUGUGUUGAUUAAAGUUCUAACGCUGCUUUUUCUGCAACUGUUUAUUUAAAUCUAUUUGAACAUAAACCCCUUAACCCGAAGGGCUAAGUCAGACUGACUCACACAUUUAUUUAGCACCUCCUGUCCGCAGGCAGAGCAUUGGGUGCUGGGAUGCAGUAAUGAACAGGGCAGUAACUGUCUUGCCCUCUCAGGGUAGAUAGCCUAGUG